CGGGACAUCAAGGAAUGGCAACAACUUACCGUGCUUCAGACGCUUCCCACCGUCGCAUGGGGUUCAGGGGGUCGCGGGUUCAAAUCCCGCCGUCCCGA
rnacentral:tRNA from 1 species